UGUCCGUUCCUCCAUCACCAUCCACAUCUGUCACCUGCUCCAUUUCACCAUUGUCUGUGGUUCCUCCAUCACCAACCCCUCCUGUCACCAGCUCCAUUUCACCAUUGUCUGCGGUUCCUCCAUCACCAUCCACAUCUGUCACCUGCUCCAUUUCACCAUUGUCUGUGGUCCCUCCGUCUCCUGUCACUAGCCCACUGCACAGUCAUUUAAAGCCAGGACUCUUUCCUGGAGCACAUAGCUUGGACCAGUCAUCAGCAGAAACUUCUGAACAUCUGACAUCUGAAGAGAACACUUCACAUGAUGAUUCUGUUGGACCAGAUAAUAUUGGGGG